GCACCAUAUAUAGUUGAUGGAGAUGUGUCAUUUUCGACAGAAUCAUGAUACUGUUGACGCUCUUUCUUGUAUAGGAGCAUCACUGGCAAUGCUUUAUCAAAGUAACAACGUAUUCCUUUCAAAAUUUCUCCUAUUGAGUCCGUCAUCAUGCCAUCCUUUUUUGACCGGUACUCUAGGUACUUUGUCAAAAUAUCAUCCACAUUUGGUGACCGUGGAAGUUUGACAAGCUUAUCCUGCUGGGUGACAUAUUCCCAAUCAUCAACAAGUUGCUUCUUUAAUGUUGAUGGAAUUUGGAUCUUGACAAGUUUUUCCGCAGAGAAAUUAUCCUUCUCAAUGCC
rnacentral:misc_RNA from 1 species